GAUGAACGCUGGCGGCGUGCCUAAUACAUGCAAGUCGAGCGAACGGACGAGAAGCUUGCUUUUCUGAUGUUAGCGGCGGACGGGUGAGUAACACGUGGAUAACCUACCUAUAAGACUGGGAUAACUUCGGGAAACCGGAGCUAAUACCGGAUAAUAUUUUGAACCGCAUGGUUCAAAAGUGAAAGACGGUCUUGCUGUCACUUAUAGAUGGAUCCGCGCUGCAUUGGCUAGUUGGUAAGGUAACGGCUUACCAAGGCAACGAUGCAUAGCCGACCUGAGAGGGUGAUCAGCCACACUGGAACUGAGACACGGUCCAGACUCCUACGGGAGGCAGCAGUAGGGAAUCUUCCGCAAUGGGCGAAAGCCUGACGGAGCAACGCCGCGUGAGUGAUGAAGGUCUUCGGAUCGUAAAACUCUGUUAUUAGGGAAGAACAUAUGUGUAAGUAACUGUGCACAUCUUGACGGUACCUAAUCAGAAAGCCACGGCUAACUACGUG
rnacentral:rRNA from 1 species